UGGUGGCUUCCCUGUUUCUGCCUGAGGGUCAGGGUUCAAAGGUCAUGGUUAGGGUGAUUAGUCACCUCACAUGGCCUGGAGCGGUGGAGAAGCCAGGGGCCAGCACUGCGUCUCUUUCCCAGCGAGAGUGAGCCGAGCCCGGGGCCAGUACAAGCGUGAGACCGGGGGGGCGUCCUGCAGGCCGGUGAUGAAUGGAGGGUUCGAGGAGGAAAUGUCUGUCCACUCAUAGGGGAAAUAAGGUGUUGACCAGCCGUCAGCCGAAACCUGGGCUGUGUGUUUGUGUGUCUGAUGAACGUAGAGACACCACAGAGUCUGCAGUGCAACCCGGUGCUGCUGGGUAAACGCUGUGUAUCAGACACACUGCAGUUCCACAGGAAAAUAAGAAUUUACUUCCAUUCUCUCUGCUGUGCACUUUACUGGAGUCAUCUCGUGGUGAUGAUGUCAUCGUUCUGAUCGAUGGUUCCUGACAUCUGACGCUGCUCUGUCUGCCAGGGCGUGGCCUCCUGCUGCCGAGGCCUCUGGGGCCAGGUGUGACUUGACCUUUGACCUCACCUGCAUCAAGGAGCAUGCGCACAGUGCGGAGGUCAUCAGCGAGUACAGCGUAAUGAAGCGAUGUGCAACCACGGAAACUGGCCCGAGUGCUGAGACGAUUACUGAACUCA